rnacentral:rRNA from 1 species
ACUGGCAACAAUAGCGUUGUAGUACCACCUGAUCCCAUGCCGAACUCAGAAGUGAAAUGCAACCGCGCCGAUGGUAGUGUGGGAGGUCCCAUGUGAGAGUAGGUCAUUGCCAGUU